rnacentral:lncRNA from 1 species
GUGUAAAGCGAGCAGCAGGUAGAAUGCAUGUCGGGAUGGCCUGGGAGGAACGCCAGAGGAAAUUGGAGUUGGAAAUGUAAGAUGUGUGCAAGAGUUUGUCUAAGGAAAAGCAAAGCCACUAUGUUUGGAAAAGGUCGAAAUCUCAUUAUUUUGCAAGAGAUUUAUGGUCAGAUGACUCCUGGAGAAUUACUUCCUCUGGUUAUGACUGACUUCAAAGGUCUGUAAAUAAUUGCCAUUUUCCUUUCAAUAACCUGAGUAGGGCUAAGAUGAUCUUAAUAGGAGAUACCUUCAGCUACUGCGAUUGGUUCUGUAAGAUCUUCCUUGCUCUCUAAGAAGUUAAUGCUAAUGGAAAAUUAUUCAUAAG